AUAUAUAUUAUACGAACUAGGCUGGAGUACUAUCAAUAACAUCAAGCUAUUGGUACUAUUAGUGAAACGACCUAGCCCAGUAGUAAUAAUAACUGGGCUUAAACAUUUUAGGCCGGUGGUUUUGGCCUAACGGGUUAUUAUUGCUAGCGGAUAUGUUUCGACCUUUGUUAGUUAAUUCGCAAAUUAUUCGCGAAUUAUUGAAAAUUCGAAUUAAACGAUCCGUUUACUAAUGUUUUCCAAAAAAAAUAAAUUAUUUGCGAAUUAUUCGCGAUUUUUUUCCGAAAUAUUGAAAAUCUGAAUAAAAAAUUUAAUAAUUUUUAUAUUUAAAUAUAGAUUAUCUUAUAUCUUAUAUUUUAUAUCAAAUUCUUUUUUUAAGCCGAAUUUUUCAACGAAUUUAAAAAUUAGAAAACGAAUUUUAUGCGUAUUAUACCCAUACCGAAUUUUUGCCGAAUCCAAAUUAACUAACUAUGGUUUCAACCCUUAGAUACAAAACAUUUACGAUUAGGAUAAUGUGGGCCUAUGAGUUAUUGGUUUAAUAAUAUAAUUUAACGGGUAAAAAUAGUCUAAAAAUUAAAUCUAACGACAGAAAAUUUGAUAGCACCAAAUACUUGAUGCUAUCAAUAGUAUCCCAGCCAGACUCUAUAUUAUAUUAUUAUAAUACAAAUAUGAUAUGAUAUAUAAUGACUAUGACUACAAAAAAAAAGAAAAAGAAAAAAAAAUGAUCAUUAGGGUAUGUUAUUUGUUGUCUCCUUAUUAGUGGUUGGGGGAAUGAAAUUAAAGAGGAUGGAAAUUAAUGUUGCCUCUACGUGUCACCUUUAGUUUUUUUCUUAAGAAAAAAAAAAAAGAGUAUGUUAUCUGUUUUACUAGUGUAGAAACCCGUGCGAUGCAGCGGGUAUAUAAUAUUACAAGCAAAAUUUAAAAAUUUUAAUAAAACUUAUAUUUACGUGUUAUUGAUAUAUAGAAAACUAUAUCAUGUUAAGUACAACCAAUUUGCAUGACUAAAUUUAACUAUUAAAAAAAUAAAUUAUAACUAGAAUCCACUCAUUGAUAAAAUAUUAAUAUGGUGCAUGUAAUUAAUUAUUGCACCUUACAUGUAAUUAGAGGAGUGGGGAGGUCAAGGGUUGGGCGUUGAGAAGAGGAGAGGGUGCAUGGUUUGAUUUAAAAUUGGGCUAUGAGAAUGAAGGAUAAUAUAUUACGUGGUAAAAAAUUUUUUUAUGGUGCAUGCAAAAGAGUUACAAAAGAGAGAGGGUGGGAGAUUAAUGGAGAAAGAAGUUGUGGGAGAUUAAUGGAGAAAGGAGUUGAUUAAAAUUAUAAAGCUCACUCAUUAAUAGAAUAUUAAUAUAGUACAUAUAAUUAAAUGUUGUACCUUGCAUGUAAUUAGAGGAGUGGAGAGUGAAAGAUAACAUGCCAUAUGGUAAAAAAUAUUGUGGCUUCAUAUAGGUUAAUAGAUUUAUUUUUUAGAAAUAAAUUUUAGCUGAAAAUAUAAAAUCAGACAUCAGCUCAAGUGCGUGAUUUUAGAUAUUAUUAUACGACAAAAGUUAUUAAAAAAUAGUUGAUAAAAUUGUCUUUAAUUCAAUUUGAGAUUUUUUUGUUUAAUUUUAUUCUAUUUUAUUUUAUUUGAAUAUCUAGAUCCAAUUCGAUUUAUAAAACACCUUAUAUGAAUUUAUCUUCAAAAAUUCUAUUUAACUUUCGAACUUAAAAUUUCAGAUUUCAACCAUUAAGUUUUUUGCUAUCUGUG
rnacentral:lncRNA from 1 species